rnacentral:lncRNA from 1 species
UCUGGUUCCCAUUGUAAUUUACGUAGGACCUCCUCUCCUGAUCUUGCAGAAUACAUGCUGUUCCCUAAUAUUUCCAUGGCCCAUUUAGCCAUUUAGCUUUUGAUGCCUAAAGGUGGUUUGCUUAUACCAUAUUCCCAAGUUUUGAGGUCUUUCACUGUUGAUUUCAUUGAUUUAUUUAUCUACAAUUCCUCUGUGUUCUAUUGUUUUUGAAGUUUGUAGAGUUUCUUUCCCGGGAUCCCGGGAACCAACGCACAGAUACAAAAAAAUUAUAAAAUAUAAUUAGAUAUGAUUUCAAAGAUUGUAGGAGAGUUAUUUAUCAAAGAAUUUGAUAAUUGGCAACAUGGAAAAAUAUGUAAGCAUGAUUUACUAACAGAGGUGUACUCACAUCUGACAUUACAUACGGCAUGGUGCUAAAUGAAAAAACGCAUGCGUAGGCAGAGAAUUUUUUAUAUCCCAUGUGUCGAAAGUGCCCAAAAUAUAUGACCGAUCGAAUCGGCCGAUUCAGAUCCGAAAAAAAUGGCACAAAAUACCUCCAGGUAAAAAACCCUCUCUCACACAGGGAAGAAACCCCUGCCUUUCGGCAGUCAAAAUUCCUUCGAAUCACCAGUUUGGAAGGUCCAAAAGAACGGUCGGAGGCCGCGGAGAGGCCUUCUGCCUCAAUUGGUAUUCCUGUGGGUCAGAAAAAAAUUCCCUGGUAAAAAAGCCAAAAGAUCAGCAGUGCUGAUAUUUUGGCUUUACCAAAAAAAACUCUUUGAUCCAACAAGCUAAAAUAACUUUGACAAGGCUUUUUUGCGAGGAAUCAGAAUUGCUGUCCAAUUCUUUGCACUCAGAAGAGAGCACGGAAAAAUUGCAAGAGAGACCAAUGACAUUAAACAAAAAAUUAGAAAAAGCCAUUCAAUCAAAGACAAAAGUUCUACGUUGUUCAAUUAGUCUAAGUUCUAGCUUGAGCAAGGUUGUGAAGCAAGAAUUGCAGUUAUUUGACUCAACAG